GGCCGACCUCCAGGGACCUGGAGGAAUCCAGAGCAGAGGCUACUUUCUCUAUCGGCCACGGAAUGGGAGAAGAUCCUUAGAGUAUGAAUGAACUAAAGAGUCUCCACCUCUGAAGCUUAGUGUACAGAGACAAAACAGACCCUGAGACCCAGGCUGCUGCACCGCCACUGAGUGAUCCGGACAUCAAACACAUCCCUCUGCCUCUGCUUUAUAGUGAUGUUUGAAUGUACACAAUGGAUAUUAAU